GGCAUUUAUCAAUUCUGUACAUGUUCUUCUGACUUCCAGCUGCCACCAAACAUGACUCUCUGUCUGUGGGUGUUCUCCAACCAUGGAACAUGUUAGUGCCAAGAACUUAACUUCAAGAGCAGCCUGCCACUAAUAACUGAAGAGUUUUGAUUUCUGACUGUGUGAUUCACAGUUGAAAAUGCAGUGAGAGGUGAUUGUGGCUGAGGGAAACAAAAUGAAGGUCUAAAACAAUAAAAAGGCUGGUGUCAAACUCCUGACCUCAGGUGAUCUGACUGCACUGGUAAAGAAAGUUUUGGAAGGCAGCUAUGCUCACCACUAUACCACCAACGCUAAAGAAAGUUUUGACUGUGACCAAUCACAUGAGGUAAGGUCAAAUUUUCCACUUGUGGUGUCAUGUUGUCACUUUAAAAGCUUUGCAUUUUGGAGCAUUUCAAAUUCUGGAUAUUUGGAUUAGGGGUGUUCAACCUGUAUUUCCAUUUAACUGCUCAAGAUUGCAUUUAUUUGAAGUACAGUUUCUUGCUCUCUCCCAAGACCCUCGCUUUCUC
rnacentral:lncRNA from 1 species